ensembl:miRNA
GGGACUCAAUGUGUGUGUGUGUGUGUGUGUGUGUGUGUGUGUGUGUGUUUCCUCACAGGCACAUGUGCAUGAGUACAAACACACACCC